rnacentral:rRNA from 1 species
UGGCUUAACUGCGGGGCUGCGUUUGAAACUGCGGAUCUUGAGUGAAGUAGAGGCAGGCGGAAUUCCUAGUGUAGCGGUGAAAUGCGUAGAUAUUAGGAGGAACACCAGUGGCGAAGGCGGCCUGCUGGGCUUUAACUGACGCUGAGGCACGAAAGCAUGGGGAGCAAACAGGAUUAGAUACCCUGGUAGUCCAUGCCGUAAACGAUGAUAGCUAGGUGUGGGGGGACUGACCCCUUCCGUGCCGGAGUAAACACAAUAAGCUAUCCACCUGGGGAGUACGACCGCAAGGUUGAAACUCAAAGGAAUUGACGGGGGCCCGCACAAGCAGUGGAGUAUGUGGUUUAAUUCGAAGCAACGCGAAGAACCUUACCAGGUCUUGACAUCCAACUAACGAGAUAGAGAUAUGUCAGGUGCCCUUCGGGGAAAGUUGAGACAGGUGGUGCAUGGUUGUCGUCAGCUCGUGUCGUGAGAUGUUGGGUUAAGUCCCGCAACGAGCGCAACCCUUGUCAUUAGUUGCUACGCAAGAGCACUCUAAUGAGACUGCCGUUGACAAAACGGAGGAAGGUGGGGACGACGUCAAAUCAUCAUGCCCCUUAUGACCUGGGCUACACACGUACUACAAUGGCCGUUAACAGAGGGAAGCAAUCCCGCAAGGUGGAGCAAACCCCUAAAAACGGUCUCAGUUCGGAUUGCAGGCUGCACUCGCCUGUAUGAUGUCGGAAUUGCUAGUAAUCGCGGAUCACAUGCCGGCGGUGAAUACGUU